GAAGCUAAAGAAAAAAGGCAUAAGUAUUUGUCAGGCACUUUUUUUUUUUGGUACCAGAAAUUGAACUCUGGACCUUGCUCUUUUGAGGCAGGUGGUGGAACCACUGAGCUAAAUCCCCGGCCCAAGGCAUAAGUAUUUGAAGACAAAGUCAGAAUGUGUAAUGUUUGCCAGUGCUCUCUGCCAAGCGUGCUGGCUACUUAGAAAGGCCAGGAGAAUCAGUAGACAGAAAACUAAUAAAUGAGGUCUGUAACACAGCUAUGUAUAUCCUAAAGGAAGAAACCUGUAGGCUUCCUACACCCCAGCAGUUGCCACUCAAUAGAAGAAGCACUGCCAGCACUUGGUGCAUUUGACAGGAUGUGCAUGUUAAUCCUGGGUCUGCUUGGUGGUUCCCCAGCUGCAGACAUGCUUGCCUCAUGAGAGCACUCUGGAAGGACAAAUACCCUGGGGUACACGAAGGGAAACAGGAAGGAGUCUCAUUGCUGGUAGAGAGGGCUGCAUGGGUCGAUAACCUGAAAAGUCCUAGAGACCCAUGGGUAGCAGAGAAAACCAGUGAUGCAGCAGAAGCUGCUUGAAGAAGUGUUCCAGAAAGCCACCAAGGUGGGUACAAGUCUCAGCUGCUAAGGCACCGAUGUAGUGGUGAGGAGCUGCUGAGAGCUAUAACACCUGAG
ensembl:lncRNA